UUAAUUGAAACCAAAUUAGAGGUAAAUCAUUGUUAAUGAUUGCAUUAAGAAUAUUCUUCAAUUAAA
rnacentral:tRNA from 1 species